UCUGAAUUCAAUGUUUUUAUUUUUUCCGUGAAUUGGAUAAUAUGCUUAAUUUAGAAAUAAUUCAUAUUAGUAGUGGCAAGUUUAGUAUAUGUGAAGGUUUCUUCUUGUACAAUACUGGUUUGAUAUUUGUGGUUAAUUACUGGUUUACUGCUAUCAGAUGCUGAAGGAUUGUAGCAUUAUUGAAUGAUAGGUAGAAAGGCUUGCAUUUGAUGUGAGCUUGCUAAUUGUUAGGUUUUUUUUUAGCAUGGUUGAGUCGUUAGUAUGUUUCGUGCUAACAAAAAUAUAUUUCUCUCGAUGUACAUUAAGGUUAAUUGUUAGUUCUUAAUAUAGUAGAGUCGAGUCGUUAGUAUGUUUCGUG
rnacentral:lncRNA from 1 species